CCGCGUGAGCGAAGAAGGCCUUCGGGUCGUAAAGCUCUGUUGUUAGGGAAGAACAAGUACGAGAGUAACUGCUCGUACCUUGACGGUACCUAACCAGAAAGCCACGGCUAACUACGUGCCAGCAGCCGCGGUAAUACGUAGGUGGCAAGCGUUGUCCGGAAUUAUUGGGCGUAAAGCGCGCGCAGGCGGUCCUUUAAGUCUGAUGUGAAAGCCCACGGCUCAACCGUGGAGGGUCAUUGGAAACUGGGGGACUUGAGUGCAGAAGAGGAGAGUGGAACUCCACGUGUAGCGGUGAAAUGCGUAGAGAUGUGGAGGAACACCAGUGGCGAAGGCGACUCUCUGGUCUGUAACUGACGCUGAGGCGCGAAAGCGUGGGGAGCAAACAGGAUUAGAUACCCUGGUAGUCCACGCCGUAAACGAUGAGUGCUAAGUGUUAGAGGGUUUCCGCCCUUUAGUGCUGCAGCUAACGCAUUAAGCACUCCGCCUGGGGAGUACGGCCGCAAGGCUG
rnacentral:rRNA from 1 species